UUGAGAGAGACAGGUCAGAGAUGCAGGAGAAUGUCAGACGGAAAAGAGAAGCGUAGACAGACGUCAGGGGAGACAGAGAGAGAUGCGGAGAGACAGAGAGUGAUGGACACAAGAGAAGCAGAGGCAGAGACUGACAGAGAGACAGACGGAAGCAAAAGCAGACACAAGAGACACAGAGCACGGAGUGCAGAGAGAGACACACAGAGAGGGAGAUGGAAGACUCAGAGAGAGAAACGCAGAGACGGAGAAGACUGAGCAUCAGAGAGAUCUGGGAGGGGCAGAGACGCAGAGAGGCGAGCAGAGACAGAGACAGCCACGCAGACGGCGGAAAAGAGGCUAGAGGAACAGGAGCAGAGCCUCAGAGGCAUCGAGACAGAGCGAGGGAAUCGGGGGGAGAUGGAGCAGAGGGGACAGAGGCGAGCAGAGAGACAGACAGAGAAGCAGAGAGAUGGGGACAGAGACACAGAAGCAAGGAGACACAGCGGAGAAAGGAGCCAUCCACAGACCCAGAGAGAGAGAGAUGCAGAGAGGCAGACAGACAGACAGGAGAGCGGAGAGAGCGAGAUAAACAGAGAGAGGAGGACAGCCAGACACAGAGAUGCAGAGAGAAGAGGCUAGAGGCAGCAGAGACUCAGAGGCAUCGAGACCGAUGGAGAGAAUCGCGGAGAGACAGAGCAGAGGGGAGAGAGGCGAGCGGAGAGACAGAGAGUCAGAGGGACAGAAGGUGAGCGAGAUGCAGAGACAGUGAGUCAGAUGCCGGCAGAGACAGAGAAGCAGAGAGACAGACAGACAUGUGAACAGAAUGACGGAGGCGAGCGGAGAGACAGAGUCAGAGGGACCGAGUGAGAGAAGUGUAAUCUCGCAAGACAGAGAGGGCCGAAGAGCAGAGCUAAAGACGGGGGGAGACAGACAGGCAGACGGAGAGUUAGAGAAGCAGACAGACAGACGGAAAAGACAUGCAGAGAGACAGAGUCAGAGAGAGACACAGACAGACAGUGAAGGAGACAGGGGGUCAGAAGGGAGAAACAGAGAUGGACACAGUGAGACAGACAGAGGAGGCAAGAGUCAGACAGAACAGCAGUGAGCGAGAUGCAGAGAGAGACACAGAAGCAGAGAGACCGAGGCGUGAGCAGAGUGACGGACGGAAGCACAGAGGUAGAGGGACCGUUCUCUGCGGAGAGGGAAGCAGAGACAGAAGCAGAGACACUCACAGGAGAAGAGAGACGGAGAAGCUGAGAGACAGACACACAGUCAGAGACACAGAGAAACAGGGAUCCAGAGAGACACAGUCAGACAGGGAGAUACGGAGACCAGCAGACAGAACCUGACAGAGCCGGAGACACAUGCAGAGAUAAAGAAGCCGACAGACAGAGGGAGGCAAAAGCUGAAACCCAGAGCUCCCCGAGACGGGGAAAAAAAAAUGCAGCCACAUGGGGACGUGAAACUGCGUCCCCUCAGCACCUGCCAGAGAACGCAUCGAUUUUUUUUUUCUUUUUACAUUUAUGUUCUUUAUUUUUUUAUUGAAGGAAAAUUGCUUUACAGAAUUUUAUUGUUUUCUUUUUUGCAUUUAUGUUCUUUUUUAAAAAAAUUACUUU
ensembl:lncRNA